rnacentral:rRNA from 1 species
UACGUAGGGGGCAAGCGUUGUCCGGAUUUAUUGGGCGUAAAGAGCGUGUAGGCGACCAGACAAGUCUGCUGUGAAAACUCGAGGCUCAACCUCGAGCUGUCGGUGGAAACUGUCUGGCUAGAGUCCGGAAGAGGAGAGUGGAAUUCCUGGUGUAGCGGUGAAAUGCGCAGAUAUCAGGAAGAACACCUAUGGCGAAGGCAGCUCUCUGGGACGGUACUGACGCUGAGACGCGAAAGCGUGGGGAGCGAACAGG